UACGAAGGGUGCAAGCGUUACUCGGAAUUACUGGGCGUAAAGCGUGCGUAGGUGGUUUUGUUAAGUCUGAUGUGAAAGCCCCCGGGCUCAACCUGGGAAUUGCAUUGGAUACUGGCAGGCUAGAGUGCGGUAGAGGGUAGUGGAAUUCCCGGUGUAGCAGUGAAAUGCGUAGAGAUCGGGAGGAACACCAGUGGCGAAAGGCGACUACCUGGACCAGCACUGACACUGAG
rnacentral:rRNA from 1 species